rnacentral:rRNA from 1 species
CGCGGUAAUACGAAGGGGGCUAGCGUUGCUCGGAAUUACUGGGCGUAAAGCGCACGUAGGCGGCUUGUUAAGUCGGGGGUGAAAUCCUGGAGCUCAACUCCGGAACUGCCUUUGAAACUGCGGUGCUAGAAUCCUGGAGAGGCGAGUGGAAUUCCGAGUGUAGAGGUGAAAUUCGUAGAUAUUCGGAAGAACACCAGUGGCGAAGGCGACUCGCUGGACAGGUAUUGACGCUGAGGUGCGAAAGCGUGGGGAGCA